rnacentral:rRNA from 1 species
AUUGAACGCUGGCGGCAGGCCUAACACAUGCAAGUCGAGCGAGCGGCGGACGGGUGAGUAAUGUCUGGGAAACUGCCUGAUGGAGGGGGAUAACUACUGGAAACGGUAGCUAAUACCGCAUACCAUCAGAUGUGCCCAGAUGGGAUUAGCUAGUAGGUCGGGUAACGGCUCACCUAGGCGACGAUCCCUAGCUGGUCUGAGAGGAUGACCAGCCACACUGGGACUGAGACACGGACCAGACUCCGACGGGAGGCAGCAGUGGGGAAUAUUGCACAAUGGGCGCAAGCCUGAUGCAGCCAUGCCGCGUGUAUGAAGAAGGCCUUCGGGUUGUAAAGCACUUUCAGCCGGGAGGCGUUACCCACAGAAGAAGCACCGGCUAACUCCGUGCCAGCAGCCGCGGUAAUAC